AUUGAACGCUGGCGGCAUGCCUAACACAUGCAAGUCGAGCGGAUGAAGGGGGCUUGCUCCUGGAUUCAGCGGUGGACGGGUGAGUAAUGCCUAUGAGUCUGCCUGGUCUUGGGGGAUAAGGUCCGGAAACGGGCGCUAAUCUCGCAUCCGUCCAGAGGGAGAAAGUGGGGGAUCUUUGGUCCUCACGCUUUCUGCUGAGCCUAAGUCGGAUUAGCUAGUUGGAGGGGUAAAGGCCUACCAAGGCGACGAUCCGUAACUGGUCUGAGAGGAUGAUCAGUCACACUGGAACUGAGACACGGUCCAGACUCCUACGGGAGGCAGAAGUGGGGAAUAUUGGGCAAUGGGCGAAAGCCUGAUCCAGCGACGCCGCGUGUGUGAAGAAGGUCUUCGGAUUGUAAAACACUUUAAGUUGGGAGGAAGGGCAGUAAGUUUAAACCUUGCUGUUUUGACGUGACCAACAGAAUAAGCACCGGCUAACUUCGUG
rnacentral:rRNA from 1 species